AUGUCGGUUUUAUUGAAUAUAACGGUGUAAAAGUUUUGAGAAUUUGUUAAAGACUAAAUUCGACUAAUUCUAGUUCAACUGGAUUAAUACCUCGCGAGAUUUAUAUUUUGUAAUGGCCGUUGAGUUCAAUAUGACGUAUUACCUGCUCUUUUUAAUUUCGUUUAAACAAGUUAUUGCAGGGGACCUUUGUGGCUAUGAAAUAGGUGACUAUUAUAAAUACACAGACAACAGGUAUUGUCCUAAUGGAUGUUGUACUAUCGGCAGUGACGCCACCUUUAACAACGUAUGCUGCGAUAACAGUAUUUCUAUCAGUAUCAUCAUAGGAAUAGUAAUAGGUGUAGUUGCAUUAGUUAUCACUACCAUAGUGGUGAUAGUCAUUAUUGUAUGCUGUUGCAGUAAACGACAAUCAGCAACCCAGGGUCAUGUUUUUGCAGCCCCAAACAAAGCUGUGGUAUUUUCUAAUACUACUCAUACAAGUAACAUGUAUCCAGGAGUUAGUUAUCCUCCACCAAACGCUUUUACCCCUCCACAUGGAACAAAUAACUCAUCGUCGUCUCCAAGUGGACAUUCCGCUAAUCCACCAUCUUAUGAUACAGUUACCUCCCCUGGACAAGAUAGCAAGGGUUUCGAUACACAUGUCAACAGUAAUUAGUUAUGAUUUAGAAUUGUUAUUAACUGUAUAUAGAUAGAGUUACUAUUUUUGAUAUUUUUUAAUUAUUUUCCGUUGAAAUAGAAUUUAAGAAGUCUUGCCUAGGUGAGUUACCUCACCUAAAAAAAUAGCAAGGGCUUCGCUACACAUGUCAACAUGAAUUAGUUAUGAUUUAGAGUUGUUACUCACUUUAUAUAAAUGGAGUUCUUAUCUUUGAUAUUUUUUCUAAUAUUUCGUUUGUAUAGAAUUUAAGAAGUCUUCCCAGAUACAUUAAUGCGCAGAGACAUUCAUCCUCUGUAGUCGUGUGAAGCUACUUUUCUCACAAAAAUACACACCAUAAGUUUUCAUUUUCUGUUCACUUGAGGAAACAAAUAACUCAUCGUCGUCUCCAAGUGUACAUUCCGCUAAUCCACCAUCUUAUGAUACAGUUACCUCCCCUGGACAAGAUAGCAAGGGCUUCGCUACACAUGUCAACAUGAAUUAGUUAUGAUUUAGAGUUGUUACUCACUUUAUAUAAAUGGAGUUCUUAUCUUUGAUAUUUUUUCUAAUAUUUCGUUGGUAUAGAAUUUAAGAAGUCUUCCCAGAUACAUUAAUGCGCAGAGACAUUCAUCCUCUGUAGUCGUGUGAAGCUACUUUUCUCACAAAAAUACACACCAUAAGUUUUCAUUUUCUGUUCACUUGAGGAAACAAAUUGGACGAAUUCCAUGCGAAGCAACAUUAUGAGUCGUAACUAUAAGACCAGGUAAACUAUAGGCUAUUGAAUUUACAUUACGACAUUAAACUUACAAACAUAUCCAUGGGUAUUAAAGAAUACACUGUGAUAUAUUAAAUAAUACACCAAGGAAUUCGAGUAGCUACUGUAAAUUUUUAUGCAAUUGUUUUGUUUUUUUUAUACAAAUGUAGGUAGAUAGGCCUAUCAUUUAAAUAAUAGGCCUAUCAUUUACUAGAAUUGAUAUUUGUUGUUUAUUUCUUACUAUGUCUGUGUGGUUUAUCGUGUCCGCAGGUUUGUCUUUUUGGUUUAGUUUUGCCUGUAUUGCGGUGCACCUGCAUUUCCAAUCCAAGUCCCUAGGCAGCUUUUUAAACAACUGUUUUGUCUAUAAGUAUCAUUUCUACAAAUAUUUAUUAAACUAUUUGCAAGUUGAAAUUUGCGAUUCAAAAACAUACACAAAAGACCACAAGCUGUGCACACAAUCUUGUAGUGGGGGAAUAAUUCUAACGUAUUUUGUUUAUGUUUUUGAAUCGCAAAAUUCUGCUUGAAAAUAGUCUUGGAUUUUUCUAAAGGUGUAUCAUUCAAGGAAGAAUUACAAUGAAAAAUAGAAGACCGUAGAACAGAGGUGAGGUAGAGCAUUAUUUGCAUUUUCUUUGCAUGUUAAUAAGGGCGGACAGGAACGAUCAGAGGAAUUCACGAUUCUUUACAUAAUAUUAUUUUCUUACAACGACCUUAUAUGUGGCACACUGAAAUAACAAUCUGUUAUAUAUUCUAUUGUGACUUGUAUACAUAUUGAAAUUGUUAUAUAUAUAUAUAUAUAUAUAUCAUAGUAUAAAAUAUAAAAAUAACACCGAUUUGCUUUUAUAUUUUAUACUAUGAUAUAUGAUACUGUACAUUAGAACAACAACUCACUACAGCUAUAUAUAUAUAUAUAUAUAUAUAUUUUGUUUAUCUUUUUUUUUAUUAUUUCAUAAUAACCCAUGUUGACUAUAAGUAAAAUAAGUAAAAAAAAAUAUCAAUCUUGUAAACUGGUUUUCUAGAGGUCCAGAUGAGCUAUACCAUAAAGAGAGAGAGAGAGAGAGAGAGAAAUGGGGUUUAACGUCCACUCGACACAAACUAGGUCAUUUCGGGACUAACAUAUGGUUCAAUUUUAUUUUCAUAAUUCGCUUGCGCGUAGGGGUCUUUAGCAGUUGGAGGAAACUGGAGGACCCGGAUAAAACCCACGAAGUUGGACAGGCGACCCUACUCCUUGUCACGUACAGCUAUACCAUAAACAAAAUCAAUUACCAUAUAUGUCUUUAAGCUGUAUUAUACAAGAUUUAGAUGCAGAGCUGACCGUUCUUGCUAUUUAAUAGUAAUUCAGACAUAGACAAUGUAAAAUUAAUAUAUUCAACAUAUAUUAAAAUUACUUUAUUCUGAACGACGUAAUCACUGAUGUUUUAGCACCACUAAGACA